rnacentral:rRNA from 1 species
GCCAGCACCAUACCACCCUGCAUCCCACUGCUGGCUUGCCUCUGAAGCUAAGCAGGGUUGGUCCUGGAUGGGAGACCAGAUGCUGCUGAAAGUGGAGUUGCUGUGC